rnacentral:rRNA from 11 species
AACCAUGGUGACAGCGGCGGCGGUGAGACCAGUGUCACCACCGGCAGCCACUUUUUCGCGAAGCUCUCGCAGCUGGCGCUGCAGCUGCGAGAUCUGCGCAGCCCGGCCCUUCCACUGGUUGGCGGUAGGGUCGUCUGCCACGGCCAGGGCCUGCUGGA